AAGCAACUUUGGGAUUAGAGUAUAUCCUGGUCCGCCGCCGCCGCCGCCGCCGCGCCGCCGCUCAUAUGAGCAUCUGUCGUUCGGACUUAGGGGUUUUUUUGAUCUCUCGCUCUCCUAAACCUUUAGGGUCUAGAAACUUCCUCUACCUCUACCUCUAGCUCUCCCUGAGGGUCCUCGUCUCCUCCUACACCUAGCGUCUGGUGAGCAACUUCGUACGCUUCUACGAUCGUCUCAAGCCGAUACUAUACGGCUCGUCCUUCUGGUGAUACAGGGACUCCUUCCUCCGGAGGUGCAGGGACUCCAACCUUCUACCUCCGAACCAACUGCGAGAAACAGCGGUGGCACUCUAGGACUCCUCCCUUUGGUUGAAGAACUACCCCCUCCAGUUAAGUGCCCGCGAACGUUGAAAUCCGCCUUCCUUCCGAAUGUCCCUCAGCUAGGUUGCCCUCUUGUUACAGCGGCAGCGAGAAGAGGCUAAGCAAGCGGAGUUCUUGCCAGCUGAACCACCCCCACUCGAACGGGGUGAAACAGUGGUCGGUACUCCUCAGGGACCUAGAAGAGAACGCGCUCAGCCUAGUAGACCCGGCGGCCUAGGUCAGAGACCGCAGGUAUUACUCCUUUAAACUAUAGGGGCAGAGGAGGCUGUUCGGGUUUUUCGACGACAAAGAGUACAGUGCGCGUCGACACUAUUAGAGGUUCUGAUACUUCUUAAUAAGGUUCCUCCUACGAUGAAGAAGUUUCGAAGAAGUGGCACGGGUGACCCUUAGAUAUACCCCGUCAGUCUACCGUUCGGUACCACAGAAGCUACUAUAUUCAUAAAAACAACAGUCGAACGAAAGAAGAAGAAUUAAUGAUGGGUACAGGGCAAGUUAAUUAUUACGUUAGCCUGGUGAGAGAUAAAAGUGAGAAGCAUAUGAACGAAUUAAUUAAAACAUUAAACAAUUAUAUCUAAAAAAAACGCCAACUAAUUCUAUCUAAAAGAUUGUUACGUGAGAACAAACUGAAACUAAAACCACGACGUGCGUCGGUGUGACUCAGGAUACGUUAAGUGCGGUAGGUGUGGACCAUAAUGAGGGAUGAGACGAUGGUGGACGGGUCGUAACGUCUAGAUGAGAUAGUUUUAACAACUGGAGUUGCAGUUGAACUCGACCGGCGAGGCUCACAUGCCACAACAGCGGCGGUCUCUGUGACACCUGGCGUUGGCGUUGGAAGAGAAGAUGGCCAGGUCCCGAUUGAUGGUUAAUCAGCUCUUUCUACUAGGAAAAAACGCGAACUGACCGGGCAGAGCGCGUUAAAACCGGUCGUUGGGCCACUGUAAACUUCAACUUGAUUUUUGACACAUAGGACCUCGCCUCGGCCUAGGGGUUCCGCGUAACGAGAGAACGCAGAUACUAACCGCGCGGCACGUCCUAUGGUGGGGAUACAAGGAACCGAUACGAACAAGACGUGUCAAUUCGGAACUCGUUGAAGGAUCUCGUUAGGUCCGGUGAUAGUACCCACAGGUGUAACAACUACCGAGUACCGGAGGAUUUAUACCUACGGCCCAAAGAACGAGGAACAGACGAGGUCUACUAGGGUGAGGAUCCCUUCACAACAACGAACUAACAAGGGCAAGACUACGACUUUUUUUUUUCGGGACAACCUAGUCUACCGAUGAAACCAGACCGUUCCUUACAACAAAGUCGACUUGAUGUUAGUUGUGACUUUCAACAGUAUGUUCGGGUCAGCACCUCCGUACCACCACGUGUCCCAGUACAGCUCAAGGGACAGGUUGUUAUGACGGUUUGUUCGUUCCCAAGUACACAACAUCCGUACACAUUCCAGCUCCAACAACAACGAACCAGGGAGGAACAGCUCUUGUUCGACUUAGAGUACGAAACUCUGCACUCUAGAUGAUACAUUCUCAGUCGAGAUCGAACGCUGAGUAGAACUGGGUCUAUAAGCACAUGACUGAUAAUCGAAUAGAACACUUUGUAACAAUACGACCACCAAACGAUCGUACAAUUCGUAAAGACAAGCCUGGUUGAUACAUUCUACAACUCAUAGUCAAGACCAAAGACAGUAGGUUG
rnacentral:rRNA from 1 species